rnacentral:lncRNA from 1 species
UUGAAUUAUUGCAAAGCCUAUAGAGAAUCUUGCUAGUGUAGAGACACGGUUGGAAAGGAAGGAGUUGGAACGAGCUGGUGAGCUGAUAGUUUUAGCUUAUGUAUACUCGUAGGACAAUCCGAGAUUUAAUUUUUGAAAUAGUACAAUGUGAAGUCGAGAAAUGUUGUAUUGCCCUUUUAGUUUAAAUGAUUUCCUAAUUUCCUUUUAAGUGUGCUACAACUUUAAGGUUGCAAACCCAAGUACAGGUUGUCGCAAGUAGUAAAUCUCGGAAGUUCGAGGUUGAACCACAGGGAAUUGGAAGGAAAUAAACUAAUCUAUGAGUAGUGAACGGUUGGUGGAAAUAUGAUGAAGAUGAACACUAGAGCAUCGGGGAUUCACUUCGGAAAAUGAGUAGAAAUUGUCCUUGAUCUUUAAUUUAACUCAUGAAAAUCAAGUUAGGAGUGAUCUCAUAUGGAAGAUAAAACAUUGAUCACAAAUAUAUUAAAAGGUAGAUCUUGAUCAUUGUUUGAGAGAAUAUGUCAAAAUAAGUUGUUAGAAUGUAGAGAUUAUCUAAGCAUUUAUUGUGCCAGAAUUGUCAACAAUAAAUCAAAGUCUUUAACAAACCAAAACCAUUUGUAGAACAUAUACUUCAACCAAGUAAGAAGAUGAACAUUGAAGAACAAAAUGAAAGAUCAAAGACAAUACUAAACAUUCAUCAAAGUUUCACCCUUAGCUCUAGCUAAAUAUUUAGAAAUACAUAGUGAAAUGUUACAAAGAAAAUGAAAGAAACUAGAAUAUGAUGAAGAGGAAUGGAUUCUCUCAAAAUCAUGGCCAAGGUCCCCUUUUAUAGGCAAAGGAACAUCCAAAAUUCAAGUAGGCAAUGCAACUUGCUUCUGUCCAACUUCAAGACAGCUGAAACAUGCAACUUGAUGCCAAUUUUUAGAUACAUUGUGUAGCGAAUUUGAACUUAUUAUCAACAGAUAAAUUAUUACCACUUGAGUUAUCUUUCCAUUGGUUCAAAUAUCAGGUUCAUUGGAUCUAUAUAACUCCAGAUAUGACAAAAACAAUAAGUGCUGCUUCACAGGUAAAGCUGUAUCCGGCAGGUAACAAGCUAGAAUUUUCACGGUAAUUUUGGCUGCCUUAUGAUACGAAUUCGACUUCUUGCAAAACAUGAAAGUUGUAGAAACAUGCCUUAUAUUUCCAACCCAACUUGAAUCACCUCAAUCCAAUGUCUGCAGCUCAAGCUAUGAUUAUUUUACCGACAGCUGCUUCUUGCUUGAGACAGUCACUAUUUUUGACUUUUCAACAUUAUUUUCCUCCACUUGCUCCACUUGUUCUAAAUUAGAAAUACAUGUGAAAUACAUCAAAUAGAUACUCUUUCAAAUGUAUAAUACUCAUGCCAACAUGUAUGUAAAUACGUAUUUCAAUUAAUUGCAUUUUUAACCAUGUAUUUAUGGAAAUUGAAUUUACGGCAAGAGAAUUGAAAUUAGAGACUAACAUUAGUGAAUUUAAACAAAUUGAAUGUAAAAUGUCUUGUAAAUUUUAUAUCUUUGAAGCACUUUUAGACAAUAAUCAAAGUGCUUCAAAGGAAUGCUUCUAUAGCUACUCCUUUAAUGGACUUUGUUCUUGAAAAAAGAGCUGCAAAGAGUGGAACUUGGAUAGGAAAAUCUUACCAUUUGUUCACUAGUAUUUUAUAUUUCCCCUUUUUAAGGAAAUAUAUAGUUUUAUCUAAGCUGCUAAUUGGUAACGAACUUCCUGCAUGUAGCAUAAUUAGUAGCGGAUAUUCUCUCAGAAUGUUCACAUUAUCUUGAUAGCUUCGAGAUUUUUAUGUUUAAAUUUUUCUUUUUAACAUAAACAGGUUGACAAGAUGAAAGUUUUUUUAGAAUCGCUUUUCAGCUCCACUUCUAAAGUUGAGAAGCGCAUCUCAAAUAAUAGGUAUUAAAUUCCAUAUAAAAAAGAUUAUGCAAGUCAACCCCCUUUCGUUAAUUUUAGUCCAAGAAUAAGAUGCUUAUAAUGAUUUGAUCUUUAUUUUUAUCUACUUGCAUUCACUUUUUUAAGACCUUUCAAUCUCUUAUAUUCAUUCACUUCUUUGGAAGGCAUUUGCCAUUUGAAGUUUUAUGUGACUUCAACCUUCAAUGCAUGCUCAUUGGCAGUGUUACUUAUUGAGAAUGGUAAUUCUUAUUAUGCGUUUUAUUUAAUCUAUUUCCUUAAAUUUUUUUACAGCUUAGAAAGAAGAACUGUUAAAGUUUCGAGUAAGCAAAGCAAGCGAAGUUAGAGAAAUAGAAAAGAUAUUUUCCCACAUACUUUAUUACUUUUGACUAAGUAUGCGGAUGUGUUCAGAAAAUGAGAACAAAGUAUACGUCUUUGAUUUUAGAUUCUAAGAUACACAUGUAAAGACCAUUCUUUGGUGUUUAUUAUGAGUGAACCGAUAUACAGCAGAAUUUAACGUCUUUUACUUACCUCCUAUUUUGCUAAUAUUAAAGGGAAAAAAUGAUGCAUUAAGAAGUAUAAAAUGCACUAUCAUAGUGGAAUCAUAUUAGUUUCAAUGAUCCAACCAUAUAAAAAUAAUUUGCUCUUCUGAGUUUUUUAAAAAUGGAUGACUUGUUUACAAUUUAGUUAUUUCAAUAGAAAGUUUUCCUGUCCAAAAUGAUUGCAUUUGAUAAUUUUUGUUCGAUUAAAUCUAUGAACAAGUGGGCAAGCAUUUUUCUAUAAAUGCUGAAGCACAAUCAUUAGCCUUUUAACCACUGGAUUGAAGCUGUGAGUUACUAUUUUCUUCAUAUCCUUUGUUGUGAACUGUAUUUAAUUAUAAGUUACCAGUUAUUAUCUAAUAGUAGUAUCAUUUGAGUUGAUAUAGAUUCUUAUGCACAUUAUGUAUGUUCAUCCAAGCUACCAUUUUAGACACAGCUUACGUUUCUGUUAUGACAAGUGGUGUAAAAGUAAUACCUGUGAACACUUUUUCCAAUGGCAAUAAAGAUCUGAAAUUAGUUGUUGUUUUGGAACUUUGAUUUAUAGUGGAAGUAUCAUAGUUUAUCCAAGUUGGUUAACAAAUCUUACACAUGGCAAACAAAUCAAUGUUCAGCAAUAGUCAAGAUCAAAGCUUUGUGAACAGAUUAUGAAGUAUUCAUGUUUAUCUAUCAACUUAUCAUUUCUCAAAGCAAAGUGGUGGUUCUAUUUUUUUAUUUUUUAUUUUUUGGUAAUUAUUGCUUUUUUUACUAUUACCUAGGUGAUUAUAGCUUCAUAGUAUUGGAUUGUUCUAUCUAAUAUUUUCCUAGACAAAUGAAAACUUAAUUUAUCUUUACUUAAACUUUUAACAGUUGAAGGUAGCUAUUUAGUGCUACAAUUGAACAGUUGGAUUAAUAAAUAUCUGUUGUAUGCUUCAUUGUCUUAAUUUCUAUUGCUUAUUCAGCUAACAUUAAUCAGUAUUUGUAUGUCAUAUUUCUGGUUGUCGAGCCUGCAGGAAUGCUGAUUUUUGUCUUCAUACUUCCUUAUGUGUUUAGUUGAAUUUAAUUAGUUCAAACCAGAUUUAUCAUUUAUUCAUUAGGAUAUUUGAUAAUAUUUUUCAUGCUUUAAGGAAAUUAUUUCAAGUACCUUAUGGAGUUCUCUAUUGACCAUGAUUUGUAUGCCAUUAUAAACAAUCUCCUGGACUUUCUUCUCAAUGGAAUAAUGGGUUCAGGCUAGCAACCUUCUUGAAGUUUGUACUCGAAGAGAUAGGUCUCCUUUACCGAGCAGUGCAGAAAAAUUCUAGGUCUCUUGUAGCGCUACUGUUUAGAUUCGCCCCUGAGAGUAUCAGAUGAACUAAAAUCAAAAAAUGAAUCCAUGGUUGAAUAUGAUAGAAUUUUUAAUUGAAAUUUGAUGAUGUAGGGCUGAAAAACGUUGCUGCUGGUGGGGAUGCAUCUAACAAUAUAUUGGAUACACUAACAGAUGAUCCUAAAACGGUAAUAUAGUUUUUCUUUCCAUCACUUUCAAUGUUUGUAGGGAACCAUUGAAAUUUGUUCUUUCACACAUGCGUUUUCUUAGAAACCCUUCAUUAUCUUACUAGGCUUAUGUUUGCUUACCCUUCAAAUUUGGGAAUUGUGUAAAUUUUGGGAAUGGAUUUGUGGAGGUGAAAUGUAAUUGUUAACUAAAAAGUAAUGAAAUGCUUUGUUAGAGAUAAAAGCUUUGGAUACAUCAUUUUUCUCUAUCCUUUGCAUCCCUCUAAAUUUAUCUUAGCUUAAAAGGAAAAAUGUGUUCAAAACAAGUUUUAGCUGCCACUCAGAUACUGGGAAAUGCAAGUAAGAAGUAAUUACAAGAAACAAAAGAUGCUAUGAGGCAAUUUAUAUGAGUGUUUUAGGUGCAUUUUUUGGAAGCUAAAUUGUCAUAAAAAAAACUCAAUGAUCAAAGUUUUAAAGGACUAAUGAUGAUUCUAAAUAUAUAUGUAGGAUGCUAAAAAAUGAAAAUGCCGAGCACAUUCUUAUCUUGUUUGUUUAUCAUUUUUAUUGAAUUGAUAAUAUGGACUUUGUUCAGGUACUUGACAGAUUAUUUUAGAGCUGGUCGUCUUUCAUAUGGAGCCAUUGAAGAGCACGUCUGCAGAACGAAGACUUGUCUUUGAUCUUUCUCGAGUUGAAAUCCGCCUAGCCAAAGGUGGUACUGAGAUGGUGAAAGGUGAGCCUCCUACUAGAAAGUUCGACAAGCUUUUUGACUCUAACUAAAGAACCAAUCCAACACACACCGAUAUCCCAAACUAAGGAGCGAUCGAGGGAGAGAAAGAAAGAAAAUGCACACACUCCUUAUUCGCCCUUCACUAAACUCGACCACCAAAUCGUCUAAAUGGAAUGCAUUUAUUAGGAAAGUGUGUUCAGUCAAAAAAAGAGCUCAGCAAAGUCCCCAUGCUAUAUGCGGCGACAAUGCAAUCUAAACCUACUUAUCAUCUUAAGCCACGUCGAGAGAAGAAACCUAAAGCAGAACAAAAUGAUUGAGAGGCUUACGUAGACCUUUGCAUAACUCGAUGCAUAUCAUGAAUAGAUUUAUGUUAACAAAAAUUGUUUAGAUUUCAUCAUUCCAUCUUUGUCCUUUACUUUGGAGAAUGCAAAAGAAAAACUACAAAAAAAUAACUUCACUUUCACCUUUUCAAUCUCCCCAGACAAUACUUGAAGAACUAGGCACAUGAUAUGCUAAUAGAUCUCUCUUAUUUUUUGUAAGUUGUCCAUAAAUAUUCCAGUAGGUCUUGCCAUAUGCAUUUUUGAGAAACUAGAUGAACCUAAAAUUCCCACCACAUCAUGCAUUUUGUAGCAUUACCCAUCAGCUUGCUUUUGUAGUGUUAGAGUUACUAUUCUAUAUGCUUAUAGAGCCACACUGUUUCUUUAGCAACAAAUCUCUAUGGACGAAUAGUUUAUUACAUAAUUAUUUCUCCUUUCAAAAACCUUCUAUUGCAUAAGAUAAAACACACUUUUUCUUAAUCUUAACGACUCCAUAUUCGUUACAUAAUUUACAGUCUUCCACCACAUUAACCAGUUAUUUUUUAUUGGAUAUUCUGCUAACUAAAUUUAAUUGUUGUUCUUGUAGAUUUUCCCAAAGCCAGCAUUAAUUUGACUAUAUGUUAGCCGAAACUUUUACAAAGUUAAAAAAAACGACAGCUCUUUACAUCUGUCGUUAUACAUAUUCGGUUCAAGUUCACUUAUUUUUCAAAAACAGCAAGACAUAUAAAAUUAGCAAUAUCACUUCUUGUUAUACUUAAUCACAAAUUCAAACUUUCUACCUUACUACAACUUUAAAUCGUACGAGUGACACUUUAAUUGCGUUUACAAAAAGUAAAAUAGAUAACCAGCUCUUAUUCUUGUAUUUUCAAUUCAUACAACUGUUGUCUUACAAGAUUUUUACCGGUAUAAUUACACUUGCAACAAUAACUUGCUGGACUUUUUUGUUUCUUUUUCUACAGAAAAGCAGUACAAGUAAAUAUUGCGUACAAACUGUGAACAUAUGAUAAACAUUGCAUAAAAAGGUACUUGUACUUAAAGCCGUCAC